rnacentral:rRNA from 1 species
UACAGAGGGGGCAAGCGUUAUUCGGAAUUAUUGGGCGUAAAGGGCGCGUAGGCGGCCUGGCAAGUGGAAGGUGAAAUCCCUCGGCUUAACCGAGGAACUGCCUUCCAAACUGCUUGGCUUGAGUCCGGGAGAGGUGAGUGGAAUUCCAGGUGUAGCGGUGAAAUGCGUAGAUAUCUGGAGGAACACCGGUGGCGAAGGCGGCAUCCUGGACCGGCAUUGACGCUGAGGAGCGAAAGCCAGGGGAGCAAACGGG